AUUCAGUUGACGAGUCCCAAAUGGGACGAAAUGAGAAUCCUGAAU
rnacentral:hammerhead_ribozyme from 1 species